rnacentral:rRNA from 1 species
CCACGCCGUAAACGAUGAGUGCUAGGUGUUGGAUCCUUUCCGGGAUUCAGUGCCGCAGCCAACGCAUUAAGCACUCCGCCUGGGGAGUACGACCGCAAGGUUGAAACUCAAAGGAAUUGACGGGGGCCCGCACAAGCGGUGGAGCAUGUGGUUUAAUUCGAAGCAACGCGAAGAACCUUACCAGGUCNNGACAUCCCGAUGCUAUUUCUAGAGAUAGGAAGUUACUUCGGUACAUCGGUGACAGGUGGUGCAUGGUUGUCGUCAGCUCGUGUCGUGAGAUGUUGGGUUNNNNNNNNNNNNCGAGCGCAACCCCUAUUGUUAGUUGCCAUCAUUCAGUUGGGCACUCUAGCGAGACUGCCGGUAAUAAACCGGAGGAAGGUGGGGAUGACGUCAAAUCAUCAUGCCCCUUAUGACCUGGGCUACACACGUGCUACAAUGGUUGGUACAACGAGUUGCGAGUCGGUGACGGCGAGCUAAUCUCUUAAAGCCAAUCUCAGUUCGGAUUGUAGGCUGCAACUCGCNUACAUGAAGUCGGAAUCGCUAGUAAUCGCGGAUCAGCACGCCGCGGUGAAUACGUUCCCGGGCNU